rnacentral:rRNA from 1 species
AUGGGGAGUACGACCGCAAGGUUGAAACUCAAAGGAAUUGACGGGGGCCCGCACAAGCGGAGGAACAUGUGGUUUAAUUCGAUGAUACGCGAGGAACCUUACCCGGGCUCGAACGGUGCAUGAAUGUCAGAGAGAUUUGACAGUCCUUCGGGACAUGUAUCGAGGUGCUGCAUGGUUGUCGUCAGCUCGUGCCGUGAGGUGUCGGCUUAAGUGCCAUAACGAGCGCAACCCUUGUUGACAGUUACCAUCAGGUAAAGCUGGGGACUCUGUCGAGACUGCCACCGUAAGGUGUGAGGAAGGGGGGGAUGACGUCAAAUCAGCACGGCCCUUAUGUCCGGGGCGACACACGUGUUACAAUGGGAGGUACAGAGGGCAGCUAUCCAGUGAUGGAGUGCAAAUCUCAAAAACCUUUCUCAGUUCGGAUUGGAGUCUGCAACUCGACUCCAUGAAGUUGGAUUCGCUAGUAAUCGCGCAUCAGCCAUGGCGCGGUGAAUACGUUCCCGGGCCUUGUACACACCGCCCGUCAAGCCAUGGAAGCUUGGGGUGCUUGAAGUUCGUGAC